UACGGGGGGGGCAAGCGUUGUUCGGAAUUACUGGGCGUAAAGGGCGCGUAGGCGGCUGGCUAAGUCCGCUGUGAAAACCACGGGCUUAACUCGUGGCCUGCAGUUGAGACUGUCUGGCUUGAGUGUGGGAGAGGAGAGUGGAAUUCCUGGUGUAGCGGUGAAAUGCGUAGAUAUCAGGAGGAACACCGGUGGCGAAGGCGGCUCUCUGGACCACAACUGACGCUGAGGCGCGAAAGCUAGGGGAGCAAACAGG
rnacentral:rRNA from 1 species